GACGAACGCUGGCGGCGUGCUUAACACAUGCAAGUCGAACGGAAAGGCCCUGCUUUUGUGGGGUGCUCGAGUGGCGAACGGGUGAGUAACACGUGAGUAACCUGCCCUUGACUUUGGGAUAACUUCAGGAAACUGGGGCUAAUACCGGAUAGGAGCUCCUGCUGCAUGGUGGGGGUUGGAAAGUUUCGGCGGUUGGGGAUGGACUCGCGGCUUAUCAGCUUGUUGGUGGGGUAGUGGCUUACCAAGGCUUUGACGGGUAGCCGGCCUGAGAGGGUGACCGGCCACAUUGGGACUGAGAUACGGCCCAGACUCCUACGGGAGGCAGCAGUGGGGAAUAUUGCACAAUGGGCGGAAGCCUGAUGCAGCAACGCCGCGUGCGGGAUGACGGGCUUCGGGUUGUAAACCGCUUUCGCCUGUGACGAAGCGUGAGUGACGGUAAUUGGUAAAGAAGCACCGGCUAACUACGUG
rnacentral:rRNA from 1 species